rnacentral:rRNA from 1 species
CCUUAAAAGAUGUAGGUAUAUUUUCUAUAGGCAAAUCCGUAGAGAAUGCUGAAGUCCAACAGUACCAGGAGGCUCCGGCCGAAUGGAUAGAGAAUGUAAGCAGACUUCCGAGAAAAUCUUCUAAGCAUAUUGAUACGGUACCCGUACCGCAAACCGACACAGGUAGUCAAGGAGAGAAUCCUGAGGUGCUCGAGUGAGUCAUGGCUAAGGAACUAGGCAAAUUAAACCUGUAACUUCGGGAAAAGGGUUGCCUCUCUUUAGCAAUAAAGAAGGUCGCAGAGAAAUGGCCCAGGCGACUGUUUAACAAAAACACAUGGCUAUGCGAAAUCGUAAGAUGAAGUAUAUGGCCUGACACCUGCCCGGUGCUGGAAGGUUAAGGGGGGAAGUUAGUCGCAAGGCGAAGCUUUGAACUGAAGCCCCAGUAAACGGCGGCCGUAACUAUAACGGUCCUAAGGUAGCGAAAUUCCUUGUCGGGUAAGUUCCGACCUGCACGAAUGGUGUAACGAUCUGGGCACUGUCUCAGCCAUGAGCUCGGUGAAAUUGUAGUCACGGUGAAGAUGCCGUGUACCCGUCACGGGACGGAAAGACCCCAUGCACCUUUACUAUAGCUUCGCAUUGACAUUGGGUAGAUGAUGUGUAGGAUAGGUGGGAGGCGUUGAUCCUGUGCCGCUAGGUAUAGGGGAGCCAACGGUGAAAUACCACCCUUUAUUUAUCUGAUGUCUAAUCCGCAAGACCUGCGGAGACAGUGCGUGGUGGGUAGUUUGACUGGGGUGGUCGCCUCCGAAAGUGUAUCGGAGGCUUUCAAAGGUAUGCUCAAUACGCUUGGUAACCGUAUGUGGAGUGCAAUAGCAUAAGCAUGCUUGACUGUGAGACUGACAAGUCGAGCAGGGUCGAAAGACGGAUAUAGUGAUCCGGUGGUUCUGUAUGGAAGGGCCAUCGCUCAAAGGAUAAAAGGUACGCUGGGAUAACAGGCUGAUCUCCCCCAAGAGCUCACAUCGACGGGGAGGUUUGGCACCUCGAUGUCGGCUCGUCACAUCCUGGGGCUGGAGAAGGUCCCAAGGGUUAGGCUGUUCGCCUAUUAAAGUGGCACGCGAGCUGGGUUCAGAACGUCGUGAGACAGUUAGUUCCCUAUCUGUGAUGGGCGUAGGAAGUUUGAGAGGAUCUGACCUUAGUACGAGAGGACCGGGUUGGACCAACCGCUGGUGUACCGGUUGUGGCGUCAGCUGCAUCGCCGGGUAGCUACGUUGGGACGAGAUAAGCGCUGAAAGCAUCUAAGCGCGAAACUCACCUCAAGAUGAGACUUCCAUUAAGGGACGUCAGAGACUAUGACGUUGAUAGGCUGCAGGUGUAAAGGCAGAAAUGUCAAAGCUGAGCAGUACUAAUUACUCAA